GAUGAACGCUGGCGGCGUGCCUAAUACAUGCAAGUCGAGCGAACAGACGAGGAGCUUGCUCCUUUGACGUUAGCGGCGGACGGGUGAGUAACACGUGGGAACCUACCUAUAAGACUGGGAUAACUUCGGGAAACCGGAGCUAAUACCGGAUAAUAUUUCGAACCGCAUGGUUCGAUAGUGAAAGAUGGCUUUGCUAUCACUUAUAGAUGGACCUGCGCCGUAUUAGCUAGUUGGUAAGGUAACGGCUUACCAAGGCAACGAUACGUAGCCGACCUGAGAGGGUGAUCGGCCACACUGGAACUGAGACACGGUCCAGACUCCUACGGGAGGCAGCAGUAGGGAAUCUUCCGCAAUGGGCGAAAGCCUGACGGAGCAACGCCGCGUGAGUGAUGAAGGUCUUCGGAUCGUAAAACUCUGUUAUUAGGGAAGAACAAACGUGUAAGUAACUGUGCACGUCUUGACGGUACCUAAUCAGAAAGCCACGGCUAACUACGUG
rnacentral:rRNA from 1 species